rnacentral:rRNA from 1 species
GACGAACGCUGGCGGCGCGCUUAACACAUGCAAGUCGAGCGAUGAAACUUUAACAGAACCCUUCGGGGCGAAGAUAAAGUGGAUUAGCGGCGGACGGGUGAGUAACACGUGAGUAACCUGCCUUAGACAUUGGGAUAGCCUCGGGAAACCGGGAUUAAUACCAAAUAAAAUCAUAAUGACACAUGUCAUAACGAUCAAAACUCCGGUGGUCUAAGAUGGACUCGCGUCCCAUUAGCUAGUUGGUAGAGUAAAAGCCUACCAAGGCUACGAUGGGUAGCCGGCCUGAGAGGGUGAACGGCCACAUUGGCACUGAGAAACGGUCCAAACUCCUACGGGAGGCAGCAGUGGGGAAUAUUGCACAAUGGAGGGAACUCUGAUGCAGCGACGCCGCGUGAACGAAGAAGGCUUUCGAGUCGUAAAGUUCUUUUAUAUGGGAAGAUAAUGACGGUACCAUAAGAAAAAGCCCCGGCUAACUACGUG